AGAGCGAACGCUGGCGGCAGGCUUAACACAUGCAAGUCGAGCGGGCGUAGCAAUACGUCAGCGGCAGACGGGUGAGUAACGCGUGGGAACGUACCUUUUGGUUCGGAACAACACAGGGAAACUUGUGCUAAUACCGGAUAAGCCCUUACGGGGAAAGAUUUAUCGCCAAAAGAUCGGCCCGCGUCUGAUUAGCUAGUUGGUGAGGUAACGGCUCACCAAGGCGACGAUCAGUAGCUGGUCUGAGAGGAUGAUCAGCCACAUUGGGACUGAGACACGGCCCAAACUCCUACGGGAGGCAGCAGUGGGGAAUAUUGGACAAUGGGCGCAAGCCUGAUCCAGCCAUGCCGCGUGAGUGAUGAAGGCCCUAGGGUUGUAAAGCUCUUUUGUGCGGGAAGAUAAUGACGGUACCGCAAGAAUAAGCCCCGGCUAACUUCGUGCCAGCACGCCGC
rnacentral:rRNA from 1 species